UAAGACUGUUCACUUUAUACAGAAUGUGGCAUUCCUCUACUCCACUUUCAUCUGUGAACCUUCAACAGACAAGAGAGCCUGCUGCAUCACUUAUACACAUUCUUCUGCUUAAGAGAUCAUACUGCUUAAGAGAUAUGUCAGACACAGUUCCAGACAAAAGACAGAUAAGUUUGGCAUAACAGCAGCUGGACUUGGAGAGAAAACAAUCUUAAUUCAAGGUGAUGCUUAUUAUGUCAUAUCUUUCUGAUGUCAAUAAAAUGCAUUUUAAAAGUAAAUUAUUAUUCUGUUCAUUUUGUGCUUGUAUAUAUGAAAUGUACCUUGUGCUAUUUUGCAGGAAAGAAUGAUAAUAAUCCAGAACAGUUUAAAGCCAUAUUUAUUUCUCAUAGGGGAUGCUGCUAUAGGGAAUGAAGGAAAAAUAUCCUUUUUCUCAAAGACAAUUUCUAUCUUUGUAUGUUUUAUCUCACAAAGACAGCUCAUUCAUGGUGAUGUAGGUGUGUCUGGAUUAAUUCUGCCAACAUUCAAUGUAUUUUUGGGGGGAUUUGCCAGAAACAGUCACAAUUCAGAUCGAGGAUUUCUUCAAUAUUGAUAUCCGCAUCACCGUUCAGUUGCUUGACGUAAGUGCUGAAUUGACAGAGGAGGAAAGAAGAAGGUUCUUGACCUUGCUCUGUCUUGGGACCUGUGUCUCUCACAUACCAGUCAAAACUGUCUGAGCACCUUCUAUGCUUAGCGGAUCAUUUUUGGCAUGACAGAGCUCAGCAUGAAGAGAUCUGCAGUAAUGAUUUAGUCUUCAAUGGAAACAGCACACAACAGCACAUCAACAUACACUCAGAAGACGUACGAGAAGCUGGUUCAGUAUGAGAAGGACUGUAAGCUCAUCUCCUACUUGAGUUCUACUUUCACCCUCAGCUACAAGCCUCCUCAUGAACUUCCUUCUUGUCAUGAAGGAUAUCAAUAAAACUGCGUCAGUACUUCUACAGCCUGAGGGAAUUAAUUAGACAACUUGAUAUAGGGUGGAUAUAAAUAUAUAAAUAUGUUUUUAAUAACUUACAAUAGACAUAAGUGA